rnacentral:rRNA from 1 species
UACGUAGGCAGCGAGCGUUGUUCGGAAUUACUGGGCGUAAAGAGUGUGUAGGCGGUGCUCUAAGUUCGGUGUGAAAUCUCCCGGCUUAACUGGGAGGGUGCGCCGGAAACUGGAGUGCUCGAGCGUGGGAGAGGAAAGCGGAAUUCCUGGUGUAGCGGUGAAAUGCGUAGAUAUCAGGAGGAACACCGGUGGCGAAGGCGGGUCUCUGGCCCGAUACUGACGCUGAGGCACGAAAGCGUGGGGAGCAAACAGG